rnacentral:tRNA from 1 species
GGAGAGAUAGCUCAGUGGUUAAGAGCACUGGCUUCCAGAGCACUGCUCUUCCAGAGGACCUGGGUUCAAUUUCCAGCAUCCA